AAGUUUGAUGGCGACCGGCGCACGGGUGAGUAACACGUAUCCAACCUGCCGAUGACUCGGGGAUAGCCUUUCGAAAGAAAGAUUAAUACCCGAUGGCAUAGUUCUUCCGCAUGGUAGAACUAUUAAAGAAUUUCGGUCAUCGAUGGGGAUGCGUUCCAUUAGGCAGUUGGUGGGGUAACGGCCCACCAAACCUUCGAUGGAUAGGGGUUCUGAGAGGAAGGUCCCCCACAUUGGAACUGAGACACGGUCCAAACUCCUACGGGAGGCAGCAUG
rnacentral:rRNA from 1 species